GUGGGUCCAGAGGACCAAUGGUCUGUGGGUCGGGGCCUGUAGCCUGCAAAGGCUGCUCUACUGGUAGCUCGGCCCCUGAAGCGACCAGCUCUCCCGGAAAAACGAUGAGUUUGGGAGCGGAAGACCCUGCGUAGUGAGGACUGGGCUUUAUUAAGCGUUGUAAAUACAGAGACAUGCUUAGAGAGGUCUCGCAUAAAGCUGUCACCAAAUAGAAGACCAUCUGCUUCUGGUCCCAAUUCCUUAGAGCUUAAGUCUACUAAUUUAGCGUCAAUUUUAUAAAGUGCCGCUUUUCGUCUUUCUAUUGAAAUUGCC